GGAAAAUAAAUAAUUUAAAGCGAGUGCAGGAAAUAAAUAAUUUAAAGCGAGUGCGGAAAAUAAAUAAAGUAAAAGCGAGUGCGGGAAAUAAAUAAAGUAAAAGCGAGUGUGGAAAAUAAAUAAAGUAAAGGCGAGUGCGGGAAAUAAAUAAAGCAAAAGCGAGUGCGGAAAAUAAAUAAAGUAAAGGCGAGUGCGGGAAAUAAAUAAAGUAAAGCGAGUAAUAAAAACCUGCUCCAAUCGGAG
rnacentral:lncRNA from 1 species